UACAGAGGUCUCAAGCGUUGUUCGGAUUCAUUGGGCGUAAAGGGUGUGUAGGCGGUGCGGUAAGUCGGGUGUGAAAUUUCGGAGCUUAACUCCGAAACUGCAUUCGAUACUGGCGUGCUUGAGGACUGGAGAGGAGACUGGAAUUUACGGUGUAGCAGUGAAAUGCGUAGAUAUCGUAAGGAAGACCAGUGGCGAAGGCGGGUCUCUGGACAGUUCCUGACACUGAGACACGAAGGCCAGGGGAGCAAACGGG
rnacentral:rRNA from 1 species